rnacentral:rRNA from 1 species
UGGGGAAUAUUGCACAAUGGAGGGAACUCUGAUGCAGCGACGCCGCGUGAACGAAGAAGGCUUUCGAGUCGUAAAGUUCUUUUAUAUGGGAAGAUAAUGACGGUACCAUAAGAAAAAGCCCCGGCUAACUACGUGCCAGCAGCCGCGGUAAUACGUAGGGGGCUAGCGUUGUCCGGAAUCACUGGGCGUAAAGGGUUCGCAGGCGGAAAUGCAAGUCAGGUGUAAAAGGCAGUAGCUUAACUACUGUAAGCAUUUGAAACUGCAAAUCUUGAGAAGAGUAGAGGUAAGUGGAAUUUUUGGUGUAGCGGUGAAAUGCGUAGAUAUUAAAAAGAAUACCGGUGGCGAAGGCGACUUACUGGGCUCAUACUGACGCUGAGGAACGAAAGCGUGGGUAGCAAACAGG